ACAACGGUGGGUCCCCGUUGUGUGUAGCAGGAAGGAGGGAAGGGAAGGGAAGAGGGGCUGACGUGAAUGAAUAAACAACUGAGCUCCUCCUCAACGCCACAGCGGACUCUGGCUCAGCUACUUUAAUAGGCUGAUUGAUUUCAAAUGUGCUUCGAGGGGCUUGGCUGGCCUGGACAACAAUGACUCUUCUACAUCUCAACAAGGACUUGACUCAUCUUUCACCUGCAGCCUGCCUCACAGCUGUUCAAUGAGCUCAGAACCGGCCCACAUGCAAGAACACACAGCUCUGCACAACAUAAUAUAAGCCCCCAUUGAGCCUAUGUGGUUUUUGGAGAGUCCAAAGCCUGAUGUAUCACAUGCCUCUGUUUUUUCACGAAUCCUCAUGCAUCCAGUAUUUUUCUCUCCACUGAGUUUUUUCCUCUUCAUGUUUGUUUUGUUUAUAGCGGAGAUUCACAACUGACAAAUGCUAGCUAUGUCUC